AUCACAUUGCCUUGUAACGGGAUGGGAUCUGAAGGCUCCUGAAGAUUGCAUCCAACUCCUAUUCCGACACGUCCACGUCGUGCAGGGUGGUAACAAAAGCCUAGGUUCAGCCAUUCGGUUGGAUGAAGGCUCAUGGCUAAGGAGGAGGGG
rnacentral:ribozyme from 1 species